AUGGCUUUUCUUUGGGGGGAGAUGCGGGAGCUUAGUUCAUGUUCUAAGAGAAAAUUCCCCUUCUUAAGUCAACAAAAUGAUAUUUUAAAAGCCUGAAGGAACAAAUCGUCAGUAGCACAUCUAGAACCACACCGCCCCGAUGCCACCAGCUUGGCCUGGUGGCCUCAAGCAAGAUGUCAGGUGGAGCUCUCUGCACUUUGCUGGCAGCAGAUCUUCACGGAGAGAAGCACGGGGAGGGUGACACGUGGUACAGAGCAGGAAUGAUGGCUCUGCGCGAUAGCAGCAGACAAAGGUUGCCAUGGCAAGCCUGCUCGGGAGGUAGGAGGGGAUGCUGGUGAGGUCUGACGCUUCCGGCUGCUGAUGCCUGGGAAGCACGAAUGUUAAACAUGAACACAGCCAGGAGAGUCCCAGGAGGAAGCUGAUCAUCUUGGAAGAUUGUUGCACUUCAUCCUAAAGGGUGUCCUCCCAAAUAUUUUUUAUAAGAAUGAAAAAUUUGAUGCAACACAAAUAUCUUAGGUAUUAUUUACAUAGAUUGUGAUGCAUCAUAGAAAAUCAUGGAGUAAUACCUUUUUCAAAGAAUAUUUAAAUAGUGAGAAAUGCUCACAAUAAAAUGAUAAGGAAAGCACCAUGUGGAAAAUC